UACGAAGGGUGCAAGCGUUAAUCGGAAUUACUGGGCGUAAAGGGUGCGUAGGCGGUUCGUUAAGUCUGUCGUGAAAUCCCCGGGCUCAACCUGGGAAUGGCGAUGGAUACUGGCGAGCUAGAGUGUGUCAGAGGAUGGUGGAAUUCCCGGUGUAGCGGUGAAAUGCGUAGAGAUCGGGAGGAACAUCAGUGGCGAAGGCAGCCCCCUGGGCCAACACUGACGCUCAGGCACGAAAGCGUGGGGAGCAAACAGG
rnacentral:rRNA from 1 species